UGGGGAAUAUUGGACAAUGGGGGAAACCCUGAUCCAGCAAUGCCGCGUGAGUGAUGAAGGCCUUCGGGUUGUAAAGCUCUUUUGUCAGGGACGAUGAUGACGGUACCUGACGAAUAAGCUCCGGCUAACUUCGUGCCAGCAGCCGCGGUAAUACGAGGGGAGCUAGCGUUGUUCGGAAUUACUGGGCGUAAAGGGCGUGUAGGCGGUACCAUAAGUCAGAUGUGAAAGCCCUAGGCUUAACCUAGGAAUUGCAUUUGAUACUGUGGAACUAGAGGUCGAGAGAGGUAAGUGGAAUUACGAGUGUAGAGGUGAAAUUCGUAGAUAUUCGUAAGAACACCAGUGGCGAAGGCGACUUACUGGCUCGAUACUGACGCUAAGGCGCGAAAGCGUGGGGAGCAAACAGGAUUAGAUACCCCCGUAGUCCCUGAGCGGGCUGGCAAGGCGCAU
rnacentral:rRNA from 1 species